rnacentral:rRNA from 1 species
CCUACGGGAGGCUGCAGUGGGGAAUAUUGGACAAUGGGGGCAACCCUGAUCCAGCCAUGCCGCGUGUGUGAAGAAGGCCCUCGGGUUGUAAAGCACUUUCAGUGAGGAAGAACGCCUGGUGGUUAAUACCCAUCAGGAAAGACAUCACUCACAGAAGAAGCACCGGCUAACUCCGUGCCAGCAGCCGCGGUAAUACGGAGGGUGCGAGCGUUAAUCGGAAUUACUGGGCGUAAAGCGCGCGUAGGUGGCUUGAUAAGCCGGUUGUGAAAGCCCCGGGCUCAACCUGGGAACGGCAUCCGGAACUGUCAAGCUAGAGUGCAGGAGAGGAAGGUAGAAUUCCCGGUGUAGCGGUGAAAUGCGUAGAGAUCGGGAGGAAUACCAGUGGCGAAGGCGGCCUUCUGGACUGACACUGGCACUGAGGUGCGAAAGCGUGGGUAGCAAACAGGAUUAGAUACCCGGGUAGUC